rnacentral:rRNA from 1 species
UGGAGGCAGCAGUGGGGAAUCUUGCGCAAUGGGCGAAAGCCUGACGCAGCAACGCCGCGUGUGUGAUGAAGGUCUUCGGAUCGUAAAGCACUGUCGGGAGGGACGAAUAAGCUCCGGGCGAAUAUCCCGGGGCGAUGACGGUACCUCCAAAGGAAGCACCGGCUAACUCUGUGCCAGCAGCCGCGGUAAUACAGAGGGUGCAAGCGUUGUUCGGAAUUAUUGGGCGUAAAGCGCGUGUAGGCGGCCUAGCAAGUCGGAUGUGAAAGCCCUCGGCUUAACCGAGGAAGUGCGUUCGAAACUACUGGGCUUGAGUACCGGAGAGGGUGGCGGAAUUCCCGGUGUAGAGGUGAAAUUCGUAGAUAUCGGGAGGAACACCAGUGGCGAAGGCGGCCACCUGGACGGCUACUGACGCUGAGACGCGAAAGCGUGGGGAGCAAACAGGAUUAGAUACCCGUGUAGUCGU